rnacentral:rRNA from 1 species
GACGAACGCUGGCGGCGUGCCUAAUACAUGCAAGUAGAACGCUGAAGGAGGAGCUUGCUUCUCUGGAUGAGUUGCGAACGGGUGAGUAACGCGUAGGUAACCUGCCUGGUAGCGGGGGAUAACUAUUGGAAACGAUAGCUAAUACCGCAUAAGAGUAGAUGUUGCAUGACAUUUGCUUAAAAGGUUCAAUUGCAUCACUACCAGAUGGACCUGCGUUGUAUUAGCUAGUUGGUGGGGUAACGGCUCACCAAGGCGACGAUACAUAGCCGACCUGAGAGGGUGAUCGGCCACACUGGGAGGGAGACACGGCCCAGACUCCUACGGGAGGCAGCAGUAGGGAAUCUUCGGCAAGGGACGGAAGUCUGACCGAGCAACGCCGAGUGAGUGAAGAAGGUUGUCGGAUCGUAAAGCUCGGUUGUAAGAGAAGAAAGAGUGUGAGAGUGGAAAGUUCACACUGUGACGGUAUCUUACCAGAAAGGGACGGCUAACUACGUG